rnacentral:rRNA from 1 species
GAUGAACGCUGGCGGCGUGCCUAAUACAUGCAAGUCGAGCGAACGGACGAGAAGCUUGCUUCUCUGAUGUUAGCGGCGGACGUGUGUGUAACACGUGUAUAACCUACCUAUAAGUCUUGGAUAACUUCGGGAAACCGGAGCUAAUCCCGUAUGAUAUUUUGAACCGCUUGGUUCAAAAGUGAAAUACGGUCUUGCUGUCACUUAUAGAUGGAUCCGCGCUGCAUUAGCUAGUUGGUAAGGUAACGGCUUACCAAGGCAACCAUGCAUAGCCGACCUGAUAGGGGGAUAGGCAAAACGGGAAGUGAGACAGGGACCAGAGAACUACGGGAGGAAGAAGAAGGGAAUAUUCCGCAAGGGGGGAAAGCAUGACGGAGCAACGCCGCGUGAGUGAUGAAGGUCUUCGGAUCGGAAAACUCUGUUAUUAGGGAAGAACAUAAGUGUAAGAAAAUGUGCACAGCUUGACGGUACCUAAUCAGAAAGCCACGGCUAACUACGUG